UACGGAGGGGGUUAGCGUUGUUCGGAAUUACUGGGCGUAAAGCGCACGUAGGCGGAUUGGAAAGUUGGGGGUGAAAUCCCGGGGCUCAACCCCGGAACUGCCUUCAAGACUUCCAGUCUUGAGGUCGAGAGAGGUGAGUGGAAUUCCGAGUGUAGAGGUGAAAUUCGUAGAUAUUCGGAGGAACACCAGUGGCGAAGGCGGCUCACUGGCUCGAUACUGACGCUGAGGUGCGAAAGCGUGGGGAGCAAACAGG
rnacentral:rRNA from 1 species